rnacentral:rRNA from 1 species
GAUUAACGCUGGCGGCGUGCAUAACACAUGCAAGUCGAACGAUGAAACUUUUUUGAUUUCUUCGGAAUGAUUAAAAGUGGAUUAGUGGCGGACGGGUGAGUAACGCGUGAGUAACCUGCCUUAGAGAAGGGGAUAGCCUUUGGAAACGAAGAAUAAUACCCUAUGAAACCAUAACCUCGCAUGAGGAAUUGGUCAAAGAUUUAUCGCUCUAAGAUGGACUUGCGUCUGAUUAGUUAGUUGGUGGGGUAACGGCCCACCAAGACAGCGAUCAGUAGCCGGCUUGAGAGAGUGUACGGCCACAUUGGGACUGAGACACGGCCCAGACUCCUACGGGAGGCAGCAGUGGGGAAUUUUGCACAAUGGGGGAAACCCUGAUGCAGCGACGCCGCGUGAUUUAGAAGGCCUUCGGGUUGUAAAAAUCUUUUCUAUGGGAAGAAAAUGACAGUACCAGAGGAAUAAGGACCGGCUAAUUACGUG